UUACGGCCAUGUCACGUUGAGACACCGGUUCCCGUAUGAUCACCAAAGUUAAGCAAUGUCUAGUCUUUUCAGUACCUAGAUGAGUGACCGCUUGGGGAUGCCAGGUGCUGUAAG